rnacentral:lncRNA from 14 species
CCAUCUGCAUUGGAGGUGGCAGUAUAGGAGGAGGAGGUGGCGGUGGUGGUUCAGGUCACCAAAGUCAGGGUCCUAUCUGUAUUGGAGGUGGAGGAGGAGGAGGAGGUGGUGGUUCAGGCCACCAGGGUCAAGGGUCCGUCUGUAUCAUUGGGGGAGGUAGCUCAGGAGGAGGUGGCAGUGGAGGUGGUUCAUCCAGUUCUGGAGGUAUGUCCAUCCAACAACAGACCCAGCCGAUCUCCUGGCCACCACAGUCUAAACACAAGUAGUGUGUGCAGAAGGGACUCUUGGACCCAGAAAACCCAAGAUACAAACGUGCCUGACAUUUCUUUCUCUGUUAAAUUAAAGAAGAUUUGCGUUAUUCCUUUCUCCUCUUUCUUGGGGUAUUCCUGUGCAGCUUCCAUCUGACCAGGCCCUUUGGUGUCAUGUAUCACUAACCUCCAGCCAGGGUGGUUUCAGAUAUCUGUUCUCUCCCUCAAUCUUCUAGUGAAUGCACAAAACAAUAAAACUUGCAGUUCUAGAGAGCUUCA